GUUGCAGAAUCCACAGCGACAAAGUACAAGUAUUGGGUUGUCUGGAUGCAGCUCAAGGCAGUAUAACCAUCGCCCUGGUCUCUCACAAUGUGCACAAAAUAGGCUGCCAUUGGAUAUAUCACAGACAAACUCCGACCUGAAUGAUGUAUUGGAUUCAGCGCCUAAUCAAGGUUUCGAAGAUGCAACCACACAAAGGG